rnacentral:rRNA from 1 species
GACGAACGCUGGCGGCGUGCCUAAUACAUGCAAGUCGAGCGCAGGAAACUGACGGAACUCUUCGGAGGGAAGGCAGUGGAAUGAGCGGCGGACGGGUGAGUAACACGUAAGGAACCUGCCUCAAGGAUUGGGAUAACUCCGAGAAAUCGGAGCUAAUACCGGAUAGUUCAACGGACCGCAUGGUCCGUUGAUGAAAGGCGCUCCGGCGUCACCUUGAGAUGGCCUUGCGGUGCAUUAGCUAGUCGGUGGGGUAACGGCUCACCAAGGCGACGGUGCAUAGCCGACCUGAGAGGGUGAUCGGCCACACUGGGACUGAGACACGGCCCAGACUCCUACGGGAGGCAGCAGUAGGGAAUCUUCCACAAUGGACGAAAGUCUGAUGGAGCAACGCCGCGUGAGUGAUGAAGGUUUUCGGAUCGUAAAACUCUGUUGUAAGGGAAGAACACGUACGAGAGGAAAUGCUCGUACCUUGACGGUACCUUACGAGAAAGCCACGGCUAACUACGUGCCAGCCGCCGCAGUAA